GCGCCGGUGGUGUAAUGGCGUGGAGAAUUCCCGCCCGGUUAGGGAGAGGUGCGGGUUCGAGUCCCGCCUGGCGCU
rnacentral:tRNA from 1 species